rnacentral:rRNA from 1 species
CCUACGGGGGGCAGCAGUAGGGAAUCUUCCACAAUGGGCGAAAGCCUGAUGGAGCAACGCCGCGUGGGUGAAGAAGGUCUUCGGAUCGUAAAACCCUGUUGUUAGAGAAGAAAGUGCGUGAGAGUAACUGUUAACGUUUCGACGGUAUCUACCCAGAAAGCCACGGCUAACUCCGUGCCAGCAGCCGCGGUAAUACGUAGGGGGCAAGCGUUAUACGGAUUUAUUGGGCGUAAAGGGAACGCAGGCGGUCUUUUAAGUCUGAGGUGAAAGCCUGCGGCUUAACCGGAGUAGUGCAUUGGAAACUGGGAGACUUGAGUGCGGAAGAGGAGAGGGGAACUCCAUGUGUAGCGGUGAAAUGCGUAGAUAUAUGGAAGAACACCAGUGGCGAAGGCGGCUUUCUGGUCUGUAACUGACGCUGAGGUUCGAAAGCGUGGGUAGCAAACAGGAUUAGAUACCCUUGUAGUC